AGCUUCAGUCAAAGGGAUGACUUCAGUCCCUUUCUUAACUAAUCCUGUCACUGUAAAAUCCUACAGUCAUUCUUCCAGCAUAAAGGGAAAACGGACUCACUAGGAGGACCUAGACUCUCUCAGCUCGAACUGUUAACCAAUGGUGGAAAUGCAAGAAUGCUGAAGUUGUGCCUUCAGAGCCAAUAGAGUGGAUUUGUGUGUCCCACAUGACUGUGUUUCCCCUGUCUUUCACAUGGGCAGUAUUUAGUUCAAUUCAGAACUGCAGAUAGUAUAGCGUGCAGAGCAGCAAUGGGAUGUCUGAGCACAAGUAGCUGACUUCCAGGCGACUUCAGGAAGCUCAUUUGUACAUUUCUCCUGAAUUAUCUGGGAUUCUGCACCCUUGACAUUCUCCAACCCUCCUUGUCGCUGCAGAAGGAGACAGCGACCUGCACAGCACAACAAAACUACAAAUCACCACAGUGAUACAGACCAGCAAUGAAGAGAGCUGAGGGCAAUUUGACCAACAUCAUCCGUGCUGUGUCCCCAGAAAUCGACGACACACGUGAUCGGGUCUCCAAGACCACAAGACUCAGAAGAUCACUGUGAAACAAGGACACUGGGCCAACCCAUUCUGUUGGUAUGACACAAAGUCCAGCCCAGUCUGGCAUUCCUUCCACCCUGAAGGAGUCUCACACCAGGAGAACAGUAGAUUAGACUUCUACCGACUCUGAGAGACGGGGAGUGGAGCCAGCAGCAAUAUUUAGCAGAGUGACUGAUUUCUGGCACCAUCUAGCUUCUCUGCAACAGGAAUCUGGCAGCCUGGUCAGGCCAUCAAGAGGAGGAAAAGGAUUGAAGACUGAGGAUGAGAUGCUCUACUUCACACAGUUGCCCUCUGGAAGGACUUGCAAAGGCAGUCACUUAAAUUAAGUACAGGUCAUCAGACAAGAUAUCUAAUCUAUUCCUAAGACAGGCAGCUCUAGCAGUCCAAAUCCCCAUGGCCUUUGCAGCGACACGAUGAACUACUUCCUCGUGUACCUCUGUCAAUUCACGUUAGGUUGCAGUUUUUUUAAAGCGAUAUUUCAUGUACAUCAUGACCCUAUUGCUGAAAGCAAGGAAAGUGCUUUGGUUUAUUUAUGACCUACUAACCUUAAAUAAAAAAAAAAUACAUCCAAUCUGAAUGUUCACAUAAGCCUGCAGAUCUGAAAUAAAAUUUAAAAUAAAGCUGGCAUUUGUAACAGCUAGCUAAGCCCAAUAAAGGAUUUUAAAAAAAUGAAAGCCAGAUGAAAGAAGAUGAAAGCAUAUUUACCCUGCAUAACCUGCACACAUCAGGAAUCAGGGCUGGAAUCCAGAAAUACCUUUUUUACUUAGAAGUUUCAGCCCAUUUCACAGGCUAGGUGACCAAGGAAAUACUGAGGAUUUCCAUUAUGGGGGGUGGGGUGGCAUUAUUAACAACCUGCAAAAGUAAUUCCUUCCAAGAUGAAAUCCACCCAGCCACAAGCUCUACGCAGCUCCCCUCCUUCCCCUGCACCCCAUCCCAAUUGCCAGAUAUCAACCAGGCAAGCCCCCAACUGAAAUAUGAAGUGACAGAUGGAAGCAGGGAAUAAGGCCAUAGGAAUGAGUACUGAAAGAAAUGGAGAACAGAAAACAAGCUUAUAAUAGGGUAGAUCUUAAAUAUGAGCAACCCUUAAUCAUAAAGUUAAUUCAUUUGGCUAGAACAAAGUUGAACAGAUGCAUGUAAGACUGAGUUGGAGAGCCUUAUUCUCUCAUCACUCAUGCCAGUGUGCAGAGGUCUUCUCCUAACAUCCAUGGAAUUAAACUUUGGAAAUUUCAGUACAAAUAAAUGGAGAACUAAAAAUAAUCACAGCUAAAGUAUUGGCAGCAAAUAUCCUGUGCUGCUGUAUUGGGAAAGGAAGGUGGGCUGCCACAUUGAAUUAAAAUGUAUUUGAUUUAGCUAUAUUCAUAAACAAAGUGGCCUUCAUAAACAAAACACAUCUAAGCCACCAUAAUAGUUGAUUCUGUUCUGGUCUAGCUCUCCAGUAGGCUAUAUUAAUGACUUUUUCUUUUAGCUGUAUUCGAUGGAAAAUACAGUUGAGUCAAAUAAUGCAAUAAAUACCUCUACACGCAGAGCAAUUCGUUGAAAGAAACAGUUAGGACCAAGUCCAUGUCAUAGUGUUUGUUUGCAAAAGGGGCUGGGGCAGCACACUGAUCAACUCCUGUUCUUACGGGUGGGUUCCCUUAACACGAGUACAGACAAAACCCAAACAUUUAUAAAGCUUUAUAAAUAACAAAGGAUGCGAGACACAGAGAGUAGAGGGCAUCUUCAUCCAAAGGAUAAGGUAAAUAAACAAACAGCAAUUCAUGUAAGUCAAUGAAUCAGUCACGGAAUUUCAGCACAGUUAAGAGUGGACCUGGUAGAGAAGAAUUCUGACAAGCUGAGCUUCAAGAACACCUGCAUAAGAACUCUUCUCAAAAUGAAAACCAGAAAGAAGUCUGGGAAACUGCCAGCUCCUUGCAGAAAGUCUGAAACAUGAUCAGCAGAGAAGGGUGUUGGUGUCGAGAUUUGAGGAUGCAGUCAAGUCAAUGGAGUUCUGUUGUAGUGGUUGCUUCAGUGAACAUUCAACGCUGUCGGUGAGUUUGGAAUUAAAGUGAAAACCAUCGACCGUUGAUUGUACCCUCCAGCUAACCAUCCUCCUCCUUACUUCAUGCUUUCAGGCCUUAACACCGAAGAUAGCAACCUAACCAUCUUAUGAUGUUUCUCCCUCACCCUGCCAAGCUUUACAAAAAAGGUCACAAUCAACAUUCAUUGCUGUCGGUGGGUUUAACUAUGUGGACAAGCUCACUGAACAAUGAAUGCAACUGUGGCCCCACAUUGUACAGCUGCUGUUAAGAGGAGCAGCAGCUCUGAAGGCAAUAGUGAGAAGCAAACACUUCUUACAAGCUACAGUUCUCUGGUCAGAAAAACACUUGGGGGUAUCCACUUUGUGCUUGCUUGGUUUUGAGUGUGUUUAACUUAGCUGACUAGGAAAAAAACUUGCUGCCUUUUUCUGGAGCAUUGUCCUCACAGGGUUCAGUACCAUUGAAAAUGUGAAAAUUCUUAUUUAGUAUGUAUGCAGAAAAAAUAACAGGAUAGGAAGCUCUGUAUAUCUACUCCUAAGGAUUCUGACAUAAGAGGAAAGAAUAUUUAAUUGCCGUUUAACUAGGCAAUGUUGAAGAGUUCAAAACUUUAUUGUAUACUUAUGACAACACAAUUGGGAACAAAUGGGAUUUAACUGUUAUGGAUAAAAAUCUUACAUCAAAAAUAUUAAUUUUACAUUAAACUGAUGUUAAGAACAAAAAUACUACUGCAUUUGCUAUUUUUAGGGAUCUGAAAGAUGACAAAGAAACAUAUCUAGAAAUAAUAAUGGAAAAGCGGUUAAAUUUUAAAGUUACUGUAAACCUAGUACCUAUGUCAUGCUCUGAGUUUUGCAAUAAGAAAAUAAAGUGUAAAUAAGCUCACAA